rnacentral:misc_RNA from 1 species
GGGAACUGUUAUUCAAGUGUGACAAGUUCUUGGAAGCAGUGAGCUUCACCACCCCUCUAGAAGGCCUUGCCAUCCCCCAAUCGGCUUGUCACCUGAGUUUCAUCGCCAGAAUUCUCCCUGGUGACUCCUAUGCGCCUUCACAGGUUCUCCAAGCUUGCUACAUGCAUCGGCGCGUGAAGAUAGCUCCGACCCCCUUUCCUGCCAAAAUCAACUCCGGCCACCUCGCCAAAAGCCGGCAACUCAUCCCUGUACCAACACCCCUUCUAGGUCCUUCAUCUUCUCACUUCUAAAGGGGAAGCAAUGAUUCGGUCUUUCCU